rnacentral:snRNA from 1 species
AUGCUCGCUUUGGCAGCACAGACACCAAAACUGGAAUGAUACAGAGAAGAUUAGGAUGACCUCUGCCCAAGGAGAUAGAGAAGGGGCAGGAAAAAGCCUU